AUUGAACGCUGGCGGCAUGCUUUACACAUGCAAGUCGAACGGUAACAGGUUAAGCUGACGAGUGGCGAACGGGUGAGUAAUGCAUCGGAACGUGCCCGAUCGUGGGGGAUAACGCAGCGAAAGCUGCGCUAAUACCGCAUACGAUCUGAGGAUGAAAGCGGGGGACCGUCAGGCCUCGCGCGAUCGGAGCGGCCGAUGUCAGAUUAGGUAGUUGGUGGGGUAAAGGCUCACCAAGCCGACGAUCUGUAGCUGGUCUGAGAGGACGACCAGCCACACUGGGACUGAGACACGGCCCAGACUCCUACGGGAGGCAGCAGUGGGGAAUUUUGGACAAUGGGCGAAAGCCUGAUCCAGCAAUGCCGCGUGCAGGAAGAAGGCCUUCGGGUUGUAAACUGCUUUUGUACGGAGCGAAAAGGCUCUCUCUAAUACAGGGGGCUCAUGACGGUACCGUAAGAAUAAGCACCGGCUAACUACGUGCCAGCAGCCGCCGUAAGAC
rnacentral:rRNA from 1 species